rnacentral:rRNA from 1 species
GACAGAGGAGGCGAGCGUUAUCCGGAAUUAUUGGGCGUAAAGGGUACUUAGGCGGCUUGUCAAGUCUGGGGUUAAAGCCCAGAGCGUAACUGUGGGUGGGCCCUGGAAACUGACCGGCUAGAGUGGGGCAGGGGUUGCGGGAAUUCCCGGUGUAGCGGUGAAAUGCGUAGAUAUCGGGAAGAACACCAGAGGCGAAAGAGCGCAACGGGGCCAUAAUUGACGGUGAGGUACGAAAGCUAGGGGAGCGAAUGGG